rnacentral:rRNA from 1 species
GGCGAACGGGUGAGUAACGCGUGAGCAAUCUACCUUAGUUACAGGGAUAGCCCGAGGAAACUCGGAUUAAUACCUGAUAUUCUUUACAUUUCACAUGAAAUCAAAAGGAAAGGUCAGCCGAACUAAGAUGAGCUCGCGUUCUAUCAGCUAGUUGGUGAGGUAAUAGCUCACCAAGGCAACGACGGAUAGCUGGUCUGAGAGGACGAUCAGCCACACUGGGACUGAGACACGGCCCAGACUCCUACGGGAGGCUGCAGCAGGGAAUAUUGCGCAAUGAGCGAAAGCUUGACGCAGCGACACCGCGUGUGGGAUGACGGAUCUAGGUUUGUAAACCACUUUCAGGAGGGAAGAAAAUGACGGUACCUCCACAAGAAGCCCCGGCCAACUACGUGCCAGCAGCCGCGGUAAUACGUAGGGGGCGAGCGUUGUCCGGAUUUAUUGGGCGUAAAGAGCUC